rnacentral:rRNA from 1 species
CUUCAGAUUGUAAGGAAUCGUACCCCAAACCGACACAGGUGGUCGGGUAGAGAAUACCAAGGCGCUUGAGAGAACUCGGGUGAAGGAACUAGGCAAAAUGGUACCGUAACUUCGGGAGAAGGUACGCUCUUGAUGGUGAAGUCCCUUGCGGAUGGAGCUGACGAGAGUCGCAGAUACCAGGUGGCUGCAACUGUUUAUUAAAAACACAGCACUGUGCAAAAUCGUAAGAUGACGUAUACGGUGUGACGCCUGCCCGGUGCCGGAAGGUUAAUUGAUGGGGUUAGCGUAAGCGAAGCUCUUGAUCGAAGCCCCGGUAAACGGCGGCCGUAACUAUAACGGUCCUAAGGUAGCGAAAUUCCUUGUCGGGUAAGUUCCGACCUGCACGAAUGGCGUAAUGAUGGCCACGCUGUCUCCACCCGAGACUCAGUGAAAUUGAAAUCGCUGUGAAGAUGCAGUGUACCCGCGGCUAGACGGAAAGACCCCGUGAACCUUUACUACAGCUUGGCACUGAACAUUGAACCUACAUGUGUAGGAUAGGUGGGAGGCUUUGAAGACGUGACGCCAGUUGCGUUGGAGCCGUCCUUGAAAUACCACCCUUGUAUGUUUGAUGUUCUAACGUUGGCCCCUAAUCGGGGUUGCGGACAGUGCCUGGUGGGUAGUUUGACUGGGGCGGUCUCCUCCCAAAGAGUAACGGAGGAGCACGAAGGUGGGCUAAUCACGGUUGGACAUCGUGAGGUUAGUGCAAUGGCAUAAGCCCGCUUAACUGCGAGAAUGACGGUUCGAGCAGGUGCGAAAGCAGGUCAUAGUGAUCCGGUGGUUCUGAAUGGAAGGGCCAUCGCUCAACGGAUAAAAGGUACUCCGGGGAUAACAGGCUGAUACCGCCCAAGAGUUCAUAUCGACGGCGGUGUUUGGCACCUCGAUGUCGGCUCAUCACAUCCUGGGGCUGAAGUCGGUCCCAAGGGUAUGGCUGUUCGCCAUUUAAAGUGGUACGCGAGCUGGGUUUAGAACGUCGUGAGACAGUUCGGUCCCUAUCUGCCGUGGGCGUUGGAAGAUUGAAGGGGGCUGCUCCUAGUACGAGAGGACCGGAGUGGACGAACCUCUGGUGUUCGGGUUGUGUCGCCAGACGCAUUGCCCGGUAGCUAAGUUCGGAAUCGAUAACCGCUGAAAGCAUCUAAGCGGGAAGCGAGCCCUGAGAUGAGUCUUCCCUGAUACUUUAAGUAUCCUGAAGGGUUGUUCGAGACUAGAACGUUGAUAGGCAGGGUGUGUAAGCGCUGUGAGGCGUUGAGCUAACCUGUACUAAUUGCCCGUGAGGCUUAACCAUACAACACCCAAAGGGUUUUG